GACGAACGCUGGCGGCGCUCCUAAUACAUGCAAGUCGAACGCUUUUUCUUUCACCGGAGCUUGCUCCACCGAAAGAAAAAGAGUGGCGAACGGGUGAGUAACACGUGGGUAACCUGCCCAUCAGAAGGGGAUAACACUUGGAAACAGGUGCUAAUACCGUAUAACAAGUAAAACCGCAUGGUUUUACUUUGAAAGGCGCUUUUGCGUCACUGAUGGAUGGACCCGCGGUGCAUUAGCUAGUUGGUGAGGUAACGGCUCACCAAGGCAACGAUGCAUAGCCGACCUGAGAGGGUGAUCGGCCACAUUGGGACUGAGACACGGCCCAAACUCCUACGGGAGGCAGCAGUAGGGAAUCUUCGGCAAUGGACGAAAGUCUGACCGAGCAACGCCGCGUGAGUGAAGAAGGUUUUCGGAUCGUAAAACUCUGUUGUUAGAGAAGAACAAGGAUGAGAGUAAAAAGUUCAUCCCUUGACGGUAUCUAACCAGAAAGCCACGGCUAACUACGUGCCAGCAGCCGCGGUAAUACGUAGGUGGCAAGCGUUGUCCGGAUUUAUUGGGCGUAAAGCGAGCGCAGGCGGUUUCUUAAGUCUGAUGUGAAAGCCCCCGGCUCAACCGGGGAGGGUCAUUGGAAACUGGGAAACUUGAGUGCAGAAGAGGAGAGUGGAAUUCCAUGUGUAGCGGUGAAAUGCGUAGAUAUAUGGAGGAACACCAGUGGCGAAGGCGGCUCUCUGGUCUGUAACUGACGCUGAGGCUCGAAAGCCUGGGGAGCAAACAGGAU
rnacentral:rRNA from 1 species